AAUUCUCAACAUCUUAAGAAUAUACAAAAUCAUCUUUGUUAAUUUUUAGGAUAAAUCAUGGACACAUACAAUAAGAUUGGUAAUAAAAAUUAUCCGACAAGUACAAAAAUAUUCUCUAGAGAAAUAUAUGCAUUAGCUAAGAUUGGCUUUUAGGACACUCAUCUACCAACCUCAACCUUCUACAAUCUUUAUGACCCUGCA
rnacentral:lncRNA from 1 species